rnacentral:rRNA from 1 species
AUUGAACGCUGGCGGCAGGCCUAACACAUGCAAGUCGAGCGAGCGGCGGACGGGUGAGUAAUGUCUGGGAAACUGCCUGAUGGAGGGGGAUAACUACUGGAAACGGUAGCUAAUACCGCAUACCAUCAGAUGUGCCCAGGGGGGAUUAGCUAGUAGGUGGGGUAACGGCUCACCUAGGCGACGAUCCCUAGCUGGUCUGAGAGGAUGACCGGCCACACGGGAACGGAGAGACGGUCCAGCCUCCUACGGUAGGCAGAAGUGGGGAAUAUGGCACAAUGGGCGCAAGCCGGAUGCAGCCAUGCCGCGUGUGUGAAGAAGGCCUUCGGGUUGUAAAGCACUUUCAGCGGGGAGGCGUUACCCGCAGAAGAAGCACCGGCUAACUCCGUGCCAGCAGCCGCGGUAAUUC